ACGCUCGACACCUACGGGAGACAGCAGUGAGGAAUAUUGGUCAAUGGGCGCUAGCCUGAACCAGCCAAGUAGCGUGAAGGAUGAAGGCUCUAUGGGUCGUAAACUUCUUUUAUAUAAGAAUAAAGUGCAGUAUGUAUACUGUUUUGUAUGUAUUAUAUGAAUAAGGAUCGGCUAACUCCGUGCCAGCAGACGCGGUAAUCUGAGCGGGCUGGCAAGGC
rnacentral:rRNA from 1 species